UACGUAGGGUGCAAGCGUUGUCCGGAAUUAUUGGGCGUAAAGAGCUCGUAGGCGGUUUGUCGCGUCUGCUGUGAAAACUCGGGGCUUAACUCCGGGCCUGCAGUGGGUACGGGCAGACUAGAGUGCGGUAGGGGAGAUCGGAAUUCCUGGUGUAGCGGUGAAAUGCGCAGAUAUCAGGAGGAACACCGGUGGCGAAGGCGGAUCUCUGGGCCGAUACUGACGCUGAGGAGCGAAAGCGUGGGGAGCGAACAGG
rnacentral:rRNA from 1 species